CGGGUAGCCGGUCUGAGAGGAUGUCCGGCCACACUGGAACUGAGACACGGUCCAGACACCUACGGGUGGCAGCAGUCGAGAAUCAUUCACAAUGGGGGAAACCCUGAUGGUGCGACGCCGCGUGGGGGAAUGAAGGUCUUCGGAUUGUAAACCCCUGUCAUGUGGGAGCAAAUUAAAAAGAUAGUACCACAAGAGGAAGAGACGGCUAACUCUGUGCCAGCAGCCGCGGUAAUACAGAGGUCUCAAGCGUUGUUCGGAAUCACUGGGCGUAAAGCGUGCGUAGGCUGUUUCGUAAGUCGUGUGUGAAAGGCGCGGGCUCAACCCGCGGACGGCACAUGAUACUGCGAGACUAGAGUAAUGGAGGGGGAACCGGAAUUCUCGGUGUAGCAGUGAAAUGCGUAGAUAUCGAGAGGAACACUCGUGGCGAAGGCGGGUUCCUGGACAUUAACUGACGCUGAGGCACGAAGGCCAGGGGAGCGAAAGGGAUUAGAUACCCCUGUAGUCCUGGCAGUAAACGGUGCACGCUUGGUGUGCGGGGAAUCGACCCCCUGCGUGCCGGAGCUAACGCGUUAAGCGUGCCGCCUGGGGAGUACGGUCGCAAGAUUAAAACUCAAAGAAAUUGACGGGGACCCGCACAAGCGGUGGAGUAUGUGGCUUAAUUCGAUGCAACGCGAAGAACCUUACCUGGGCUUGACAUGUAAUGAACAACAUGUGAAAGCAUGCGACUCUUCGGAGGCGUUACACAGGUGCUGCAUGGCCGUCGUCAGCUCGUGUCGUGAGAUGUUUGGUUAAGUCCAGCAACGAGCGCAACCCCUGUUGCCAGUUACCAGCACGUGAAGGUGGGGACUCUGGCGAGACUGCCCAGAUCAACUGGGAGGAAGGUGGGGACGACGUCAGGUCAGUAUGGCCCUUAUGCCCAGGGCUGCACACGUACUACAAUGCCCAGUACAGAGGGGGCCGAAGCCGCGAGGCGGAGGAAAUCCUAAAAACUGGGCCCAGUUCGGACUGUAGGCUGCAACCCGCCUACACGA
rnacentral:rRNA from 1 species